GCCUGAUCAGCCAUGCCGCGUGUGUGAUGAAGGCCUUCGGGUUGUAAAGCACUUUUGUCCGGAAAGAAAAGGGUCGGGUUAAUAACCCGGUGUUAUGACGGUACCGGAACAAUAACCACCGGCUAACUUCGUGCCCUCACCCGCGGUAAUACUAAGGGUGCAAGCGUUACUCGGAAUUACUGGGCGUAAAGCGUGCGUAAGUGGUUUGUUAAGUCUGAUGUGAAAGCCCUGGGCUCAACCUGGGAACUGCAUUGGAAACUGGCUGACUACAGUGCGGUAAAGGGGUGUGGAAUUCCCGGUGUAGCAAUGAAAUGCGUAAAUGUCGGGAGGAACAUCUGUGGCGAAGGCGACGCCCUGGACCAUCACUGACACUGAGGCACAAAAGCGUGGGGAGCACACACGAUUAGAUACCCUGGUAGUCCACUCCCUAAACUAUGCGAACUGGAUGUUGGGGGCAACUUGGCCCUCACUAUCGAAGCUUACGCGUUCAGUUCUCCGCCUGGGAAGUACUGUCGCAAGACUGAAACUCCGAGGAAUUGACUGGGGCCCGCACAAGCGGUGGAGUAAGUGGUUUAAUUCGAUGCCACGCGGAUAACCUUAUCUGGAC
rnacentral:rRNA from 1 species